GAAUUCCCUCUUCCCGCCCCUCCUCCAAUCGCUGCAUGUUUCUUGCUUCUCGAUGCGCUAAGGGUACCAAUUUCGGUUCCGGAUCGUGAUCUUUCGCUCUCAAAACGCGCUUCGGAUCGGUCAGAUUGCUUGAGAUUUGUCCCUUUUCUUGGCAUUCCUGUCAGAUUGUUCUAAAGAUGGAGUUUUCCUGAUGCCUCACAAUUGAGAUUCUGGUGGCCAGCAUAGAACCAAUUGAGACCUUCGCUUGUGACAAGCCACCAGACAAAGAGGUGGACAUCUGUGUUUUCGGAUCAUGGCUUGUUCAAGUGAUAAUCUUUUCUGAAGUAAUUGCUUGUGAGCAAUACUUGGAAGUGCGACUUGGUAGAAAUUAGACAUUAUCAGAGAGGAUCUUGCUCGCAUAUAUGUAGCUGAAUUAACAUCUGUUGUUGCCCACCUUC